rnacentral:rRNA from 1 species
AGAGUUUGAUCCUGGCUCAGGACGAACGCUGGCGGCGUGCUUAACACAUGCAAGUCGAACGAGGUAGCAAUACCUAGUGGCGGACGGGUGAGUAACACGUAGGUAAUCUGCCCAUCGGUGGGGGACACCCAGUCGAAAGACUGGCUAAUACCGCAUACGCUGGCCUCUUGAAAUAGGGGUCAGGAAAGAUUUAUUGCCGA